GGGCAUGGUACAGGUGUACAGGUGGGCAUGGUACAGGUGGGCAUGGUACAGGUGGGCAUGGUACAGGUGUACAGGUGGGCAUGGUACAGGUGUACAGGUGGGCAUGGUACAAGUGUACAGGUGGGCAUGGUACAGGUGUACAGGUGGGCAUGGUACAAGUGUACAGGUGGGCAUGGUACAGGUG